ensembl:snRNA RNU5B-1 RNA, U5B small nuclear 1
AUACUCUGGUUUCUCUUCAGAUCGUAUAAAUCUUUCGCCUUUUACUAAAGAUUUCCGUGGAGAGGAACAACUCUGAGUCUUAAGCUAAUUUUUUGAGGCCUUGUUCCGACAAGGCU